rnacentral:lncRNA from 1 species
CGCUAUGAACAAUGCCGCUCACAGCCCACUCUCCGACUAAGAUGACCUUGUCAAUCUUGGCCGAACACUCAGAUUGUCCCACAACCCAAGUCCCCUUUUCCUUGAAACACUUAGAACUCCUCACGUUUCCCUCGUGUUUCCCAGCAAGCAACUACACACGAAUUACUUGACUCCUUUCUGCCUAAGCCUAAGGGUCCUAUUUAUAGCACAUAGGAACCCUUCACUUGGCACCACAUGCACAUUUUCGGCCAACUGCCUUGUCCCACUAAGCUACCCCACGUUCCUAACGUGUGGCUGACAACCCCAGCCACUUAGGAUCCACUACUCACGAAAUGGG